rnacentral:rRNA from 1 species
GAUGAACGCUAGCGGCAGGCUUAAUACAUGCAAGUCGAGGGACAGCACAGGUAGCAAUACUGGGUGGUAACCGGCAAACGGGUGCGGAACACGUACACAACCUUCCUUUAAGUGGGGGAUAGCCCAGAGAAAUUUGGAUUAAUACCCCGUAAUAUAGUUGAAUGGCAUCAUUUGAUUAUUAUAGCUACGGCGCUUAAUGAUGGGUGUGCGGCUGAUUAGAUAGUUGGCGGGGUAACGGCCCACCAAGUCUACGAUCAGUAGCUGAUGUGAGGGCAUGAUCAGCCACACGGGCACUGGGACACGGGCCCGGCUCCUACGGGAGGCAGCAGUAAGGAAUAUUGGUCAAUGGACGCAAGUCUGAACCAGCCAUGCCGCGUGAAGGAUUGAGGUCCUCUGGAUUGUAAACUUCUUUUAUUUGGGACGAAAAAGGGCCUUUCUAGGUCAACUGACGGUACCAGAUGAAUAAGCACCGGCUAACUCCGUGCCAGCCGCCGCGGUAAUAC